rnacentral:lncRNA from 1 species
CGUUGUUUUUAGGACGAAGGGAGGGAGUAUUAUUUACGAAAUUCCAUAGAUAGUGUUGCUGUGCAACUCGCAAGAAGUCUCAUCAUUUUUACAUUUAAAUUUUAUUUGGAAAAAGGUGAGUAAAAAAUGCAGUUAGGUUAAUUGAUGAAUGUAAUAAAUCAAGGGACCACAAAAGGAAAAAAAGUAAGAGAAAAAAAUAAAAAUGAAAAAAAAAAGUGCAGAAUCCAUAUUUAUGCGGUUAAGGAUGAGGUGGUCCAGAUUCGUGAAUGAUCUUAAAUAUGAGAUUAUCUCAAUCUGGAAUUUUUCAAAUGAUGGAUGCGUUCAUUAUUUCAAUUUUGGGACGCGUAUUUGACCUAAUUAAGGAACCCACUCCCACUUUAACUCAUUCUCUUUCUUUACGUACAAUGCUCCCAAAUAAAAAUCAUGCCCCAAAUUAAUAUUUGAUAUCUCCCAUUUUCAGCUAAGCCCUAUUGCUACCAAUCACCAGCUGUGACUCUAUCCUUACCCCACCCCCACACCUAUAUGUUUUCAAUUCUUUUUUUUUUCCAAUUUUCAUUUCUUGUGUUUUGGAAACUUUUUUAAUUAUUACCUACUCUUAUUUAUGAUAUGUUUCUUUUCAUGUUGUGUGUAAUGAGAUAUGAAGGAACUUACAACACCACGUAUUAUUCCGCGUUGCUUAAUUAGUUUUUAAUUUCUACUUUAUGCUGCACUCGUUGAUUUUCUAAAUUCUA